rnacentral:rRNA from 1 species
UACGUAGGGCGCAAGUGUUGUCCGGAAUUAUUGGGCGUAAAGAGCUCGUAGGCGGUUUGUCGCGUCGGCCGUGAAAACUUGGGGCUUAACCCCAAGCCUGCGGUCGAUACGGGCAGACUUGAGUUCGGCAGGGGAGACUGGAAUUCCUGGUGUAGCGGUGAAAUGCGCAGAUAUCAGGAGGAACACCGAUGGCGAAGGCAGGUCUCUGGGCAUUAACUGACGCUGAGGAGCGAAAGCAUGGGGAGCGAACAGG